rnacentral:rRNA from 1 species
AGUGAACGCUGGCGGUAGGCCUAACACAUGCAAGUCGAACGGCAGCACAGUAAGAGCUUGCUCUUACGGGUGGCGAGUGGCGGACGGGUGAGGAAUACAUCGGAAUCUACUUUUUCGUGGGGGAUAACGUAGGGAAACUUACGCUAAUACCGCAUACGACCUACGGGUGAAAGCAGGGGAUCUUCGGACCUUGCGCGAUUGAAUUAGCCGAUGUCGGAUCAGCUAGUUGGCGGGGUAAAGGCCCACCAAGGCGACGAUCCGUAGCUGGUCUGAGAGGAUGAUCAGCCACACUGGAACUGAGACACGGUCCAGACUCCUACGGGAGGCAGCAGUGGGGAAUAUUGGACAAUGGGCGCAAGCCUGAUCCAGCCAUACCGCGUGGGUGAAGAAGGCCUUCGGGUUGUAAAGCCCUUUUGUUGGGAAAGAAAAGCAGCAGGUUAAUACCCCGCUGUUCUGACGGUACCCAAAGAAUAAGCACCGGCUAACUUCGUG